CAGCAGGUCUGUAGCAAUACGGAUGCUGGCGACCGGCAAACGGGUGCGGAACACGUACACAACCUUCCUUUAAGUGGGGAAUAGCCCAGGGAAACUUGGAUUAAUACCCCGUAACAUAUUGAAGAGGCAUCUCUUUAAUAUUAUAGCUUCGGCGCUUGAAGAUGGGUGUGCGGCUGAUUAGGUAGUUGGCGGGGUAACGGCCCACCAAGCCUACGAUCAGUAACUGGUGUGAGAGCACGACCAGUCACACGGGCACUGAGACACGGGCCCGACUCCUACGGGAGGCAGCAGUAAGGAAUAUUGGUCAAUGGACGCAAGUCUGAACCAGCCAUGCCGCGUGGAGGAUGAAGGUCCUCUGGAUUGUAAACUUCUUUUAUCUGGGACGAAAAAAGGGAAUUCUUUCUCACUUGACGGUACCAGAUGAAUAAGCACCGGCUAACUCCGUGCCAGCAGCCGCGGUAAUACGGAGGGUGCAAGCGUUAUCCGGAUUCACUGGGUUUAAAGGGUGCGUAGGUGGGCUUGUAAGUCAGUGGUGAAAUCUCCGGGCUUAACUCGGAAACUGCCAUUGAUACUAUAAGUCUUGAAUACCAUGGAGGUGAGCGGAAUAUGUCAUGUAGCGGUGAAAUGCUUAGAUAUGACAUAGAACACCAAUUGCGAAGGCAGCUCACUACGCGGUUAUUGACACUGAGGCACGAAAGCGUGGGGAUCAAACAGGAUUAGAUACCCUGGUAGUCCACGCCCUAAACGAUGGAUACUCGACAUCAGCGAUACACUGUUGGUGUCUGAGCGAAAGCAUUAAGUAUCCCACCUGGGAAGUACGACCGCAAGGUUGAAACUC
rnacentral:rRNA from 1 species